CAAUAGCCACAGGCGUCAGUACGACUGGAGAGAACGUUGUCAGAACUCCAAAAUUCGACGGUAGGAUGGGCUACUUGGGCCAGUCGCCCCGUCUUUCCCAGAAAGAUGAAUCCGAGGGUGGAGAGCCCUCAGUCAGAUCACAAUUCUACUCCUGGAAGAUCUCUACCUCCAUUCUGCCAGAAGACCUUUGAGACUCGCAGUCGAGAGGAUUUUCUAGAUCGAAGGCUCCAGGAGAUGAACCGGC
rnacentral:lncRNA from 1 species